UCUUAAGCUAAACUGCUUACAUUUGGCCUUCCAGUCUCAAGAGGGAAGAUAUUCCUGCCCGUAGUGACUGCAAAAUGGACCAAUAAAUACAGCCGUUAAACAUACCCAUACGUGGUUAGUCUAAUUAGCUCGAUCCACCAUAAUCACAUAGUGGAAUAGCUACAGUGGCCAUAACGAAUGCCGGCGAACAACAUCAAUACCUAAUCCCCAGCAGUCUUCGUUCGUUCUUCCGUCCAAAUCGCCAUGCACCGAAUUCCCACUAGUUCUACAGAGGGACUGGCUGAGCUCGUACCACAACCCUUGCACCGAAUUCCUAUUAGUUCUACAGACGGAAGGUACAUCAUUCAACGAACUUCCUGUGCUAUUCUCUAACCCAUUACUCUGCCA
rnacentral:lncRNA from 1 species